GGCUCAGAUUGAACGCUGGCGGCAGGCCUAACACAUGCAAGUCGAACGGUAACAGGAAGAAGCUUGCUUCUUUGCUGACGAGUGGCGGACGGGUGAGUAAUGUCUGGGAAACUGCCUGAUGAGGGGGAUAACUACUGGAAACGGUAGCUAAUACCGCAUAACGUCGCAAGACCAAAGAGGGGGACCUUCGGGCCUCUUGCCAUCGGAUGUGCCCAGAUGGGAUUAGCUAGUAGGCGGGGUAACGGCUCACCUAGGCGACGAUCCCUAGCUGGUCUGAGAGGAUGACCAGCCACACUGGAACUGAGACACGGUCCAGACUCCUACGGGAGGCAGCAGUGGGGAAUAUUGCACAAUGGGCGCAAGCCUGAUGCAGCCAUGCCGCGUGUAUGAAGAAGGCCUUCGGGUUGUAAAGUACUUUCAGCGGGGAGGAAGGGAGUAAAGUUAAUACCUUUGCUCAUUGACGUUACCCGCAGAAGAAGCACCGGCUAACUCCGUG
rnacentral:rRNA from 1 species